UGCCAUGUUUGAUCUCUCUGAGGAGUGUCUCUCAUAGCUCAGUUUCCAUGAAAGCAUUGGCUGGGACAAAGUCCCCCAGGAGCUGAAAAGGCUGGACCAGCCCUUUGUCCCAAGCUUCUUAGUCUCCCAGGGCCACUGUCCCAGCACCCACCUUCCUAGAAACACUCUGAACAGACCAUCUGGGCCGCUUGCAAUCCCAGGUGACUGGCACUGCGGAUGUGACAAGCCUGAGCCAAAGAGGCAAUCGAAGACAGGAAGUAGAAGAGGACAGAGUGGGCUGAAACCCAGAUGAAAGGAGGGCCAAAGGCACUGCCAGGCAUCUCAGGGACACUAAUGAGAGAGGUGGAAGGUUGGCUGGGGGCAGGAGUACACUGGGACAGAGACUCAAUUUUAUCCUUUUUUUCUGCAUUUCCCUGACUUUAAAAUGACCUGCGGAGCUGCCCAUGGGUCCCCUCUGACCUAGCAACUGGAGAAGUGAAAAGAUGCUCUUUGCAAUUGGGAGAGUGCUGUCAGCUGGGAAUUGCAUCACCAGGGUUUCCUGACUCACCAGCCCAUCCAGGCUGCCCAUGCCAACUUGGUCCUAGAGCCACCUACACCAGGAGUCCUGACCUACUUUUCCUCAGAGCAAUCAGCCCCAACACACUUUUCCCUUAUUAAUACAUCCUUUCCCCAGUCA